rnacentral:rRNA from 1 species
AGAGUUUGAUCCUGGCUCAGGAUGAACGCUGGCGGCGUGCCUAAUACAUGCAAGUCGAGCGAACGGACGAGAAGCUUGCUUCUCUGAUGUUAGCGGCGGACGGGUGAGUAACACGUGGAUAACCUACCUAUAAGACUGGGAUAACUUCGGGAAACCGGAGCUAAUACCGGAUAAUAUUUUGAACCGCAUGGUUCAAAAGUGAAAGACGGUCUUGCUGUCACUUAUAGAUGGAUCCGCGCUGCAUUAGCUAGUUGGUAAGGUAACRGCUUACCAAGGCAACGAUGCAUAGCCGACCUGAGAGGGUGAUCGGCCACACUGGAACUGAGACACGGUCCAGACUCCUACGGGAGGCAGCAGUAGGGAAUCUUCCGCAAUGGGCGAAAGCCUGACGGAGCAACGCCGCGUGAGUGAUGAAGGUCUUCGGAUCGUAAAACUCUGUUAUUAGGGAAGAACAUAUGUGUAAGUAACUGUGCACAUCUUGACGGUACCUAAUCAGAAAGCCACGGCUAACUACGUGCCAGCAGCCGCGGUAAUACGUAGGUGGCAAGCGUUAUCCGGAAUUAUUGGGCGUAAAGCGCGCGUAGGCGGUUUUUUAAGUCUGAUGUGAAAGCCCACGGCUCAACCGUGGAGGGUCAUUGGAAACUGGAAAACUUGAGUGCAGAAGAGGAAAGUGGAAUUCCAUGUGUAGCGGUGAAAUGCGCAGAGAUAUGGAGGAACACCAGUGGCGAAGGCGACUUUCUGGUCUGUAACUGACGCUGAUGUGCGAAAGCGUGGGGAUCAAACAGGAUUAGAUACCCUGGUAGUCCACGCCGUAAACGAUGAGUGCUAAGUGUUAGGGGGUUUCCGCCCCUUAGUGCUGCAGCUAACGCAUUAAGCACUCCGCCUGGGGAGUACGACCGCAAGGUUGAAACUCAAAGGAAUUGACGGGGACCCGCACAAGCGGUGGAGCAUGUGGUUUAAUUCGAAGCAACGCGAAGAACCUUACCAAAUCUUGACAUCCUUUGACAACUCUAGAGAUAGAGCCUUCCCCUUCGGGGGACAAAGUGACAGGUGGUGCAUGGUUGUCGUCAGCUCGUGUCGUGAGAUGUUGGGUUAAGUCCCGCAACGAGCGCAACCCUUAAGCUUAGUUGCCAUCAUUAAGUUGGGCACUCUAAGUUGACUGCCGGUGACAAACCGGAGGAAGGUGGGGAUGACGUCAAAUCAUCAUGCCCCUUAUGAUUUGGGCUACACACGUGCUACAAUGGACAAUACAAAGGGYAGCGAAACCGCGAGGUCAAGCAAAUCCCAUAAAGUUGUUCUCAGUUCGGAUUGUAGUCUGCAACUCGACUACAUGAAGCUGGAAUCGCUAGUAAUCGUAGAUCAGCAUGCUACGGUGAAUACGUUCCCGGGUCUUGUACACACCGCCCGUCACACCACGAGAGUUUGUAACACCCGAAGAGGUGGGACAAAUGAUUGGGGUGAAGUCGUAACAAGGUAGCCGUAUCGGAAGGUGCGGCUGGAUCACCUCCU